GGGGAUGUACCGGUUUCGACGGGGGUGUAGAGGCUAAAAUAGCGGGCGGAUGCGCCUACCAUCCAAAAAAUGGGCACUUAUAAAUUAAAGAACAACGAUUCUUUAGAACUGGCUGCCGCUUAAGGCAACCCGUCCUCCCCGAGAGCGCUGCGGCUCGGGUGUAGGGCGUCACUUAGCAGCGUCCGUGAGUGCGCAAAGCUUUGAGCGUACCAUGCACAAUGAAGCUACCCGAUAAUGCGGCGUGACGGCUUGCCGCGUUAAUAGGGGAACCGGCGGCUUAUGGCCGCCGCAAUAACCGUCUGCGCCCGGAGAAGUUUUAGUUGAAGCGCUUUCGGACGGGGGUUCAACUCCCCCCAUCUCCACCA
rnacentral:tmRNA from 1 species